UUCUUAUUCGCUGACAUUUGUUUUCUAAUUGCUUGAAAUUUGGUAAUUUCCUUAGUGUUUUCCUGGCCGACCUGUGCUGGUAUUGUAAUUAAGAGCUAAUACACCAUUCUCUGGUGAACUGCAGCUGCGGCCGAAUUUGAUUGUGUGCAUCAUCCUGCAGAUAUUUUGAAGUAAGUUGGAACCAGCUCU